GUUAGCUGGGAUUUUCAAGUAGUUUUCGAGUUAUUGCUGUUCCAAAUGUGAAAAACUGUAAGCCAAAAUCUUGCAAAAAUUCUGGGUAAUAGAAUAUAAGUCUGAAAACACACUUUCUCUGAAAACAUUCAAAACAGCUCGUAUUAAACUCUAGGAGAACUUGAAAACACUGCAUGGUAGGUAACUGUUUAAAUGUCGUUGUUGUAGUUUUUUCAAGCUUUCCAAUGAUGUAAGUAAGUUUUGUUAGAAAUAUAUUUGAAAUUUCACAUUGUUUAACUGUAAUAGAGUAAUACAAAAUUCUAAGUAAACCGUGCCGGCAGGAGCGCACUGCAGGACAUUUUAACACCGCCGACAUACAGAAACGCACUUACUUGCCUUCAGGGCACAAUAUAUAUGAAGGCCAAAUGGAAUUGCCCCUCGAUAUCGUAAGUUUUCCACAAUUUGUGUUCCUCUAUCUGCCUGACUAGCAGUUUAGCAGAUAUUUUCUAACUGUGCAGUUUUUUUAUACACCUGUAUAGUAUACUAUACCUAUACCACCAGCAAUGUGUAGUACGUUGUAAACCGAAUAAUAACAUUAUUUGGGUAAGUUCCUUAUCUUAUGGUAAUGAAUUUUAUACGUUUUGAUGUUUCAUGGUCGGAGCCUCAACUAUGACAAUAUUUAUAAACCAAUUAUCAAAGUUAAAGACAGACUGUGCAGUAAAGACGACAAUUGUUAAUACCAUUUUAAUCGAAGCUGGUCGUUUUCCUUUUUUCCGUUGCGCUUUUUCAUAUGUUUUCUGUCAGCACAGUCACCUAGUACGUCGGUUGAUAAUGAAACUGCGACGAUUCUUCUCAUUCCACUGUGUAUAGCACGAUCAGUAGUCCCAACUUCCUUGUUUUAGGCGAGAUUGAUCAUCCGGCAGUUAAGUCUCUUUAUUUUUAUAUUCGCCUUUUCUCGUUACUCCACGUGCAAAUUCAAUUUAAGAUCAAUUUCCUGUUGCGUUUCUGCUGAGAUCUAGAAACGAACUUAAAAUGAUCAGUUAAUCAGGUUGUAUGAAUGAUCAUAGUAAGGCAGAGUCACAGCAAAUACUAUAACAGGUAUAAAGUGAUUUUGGGAAAUAGCCCUUUUUUGUACAUCCUAGGCCCAUCCUAUACAAACACAUAUGGUACUGAAAAUUAUAAUGCAUGCAUAGCCAGGCGCACCAAAGCGAUUCUAAUCGGCCGAUUAAAAUCGCAUGGUGCGCGCCAGAUUUAAAACACCGUCAGCAUCAGUCUGAUUAUACCUUUCAUUCACGGCAGCUCAUCAUCCAUUUAACGCAAUCAAAUGUUAGAAUUAUGCAUGGGUAGAAUAUCAUGAUUCCUGAGCUAUAAAAUACUGAUUUAUGGACUGUAAUAAUGAAUCAUAAUUGUUGAUGACAUUUAGUGAUUGAAUGAUUAUAGCCCAUUAAUCAUUACAGGUAAACAUCGAGAUUUUGCAUCUCGUUCGAAAACAAAUAAUGGUACAAACUGCAUGUAAAUAGAUUUUUGGAGGAUGACCAAUUUACCAGCACAAGUUUCUAUACACAUUUAUACCUAAUCGUGCUACCUAAUCAUAGGAGCAGUUGCGAAAAAUACACAUAUAGACCCUUUGGCAGGGGUUGGUCCUGCCUUUCCUAUUAGCUACAAAGUUCAGUUGCUGAAC